rnacentral:lncRNA from 1 species
AGACAUGUAUUAAUUAUCAUAGGUGAUGCAUGCAUCUCCUAAUUAUCAAAGGCUCCAAUAAUCAACAUGGACGGAUGCCAUACAUCAGCGCAUUGUAAUGCUGAUUUGGCACUUGAACAAGACAUGGUGUUAUUACUUCUUAGUUCUUUAAACAAUUCUCCAAAGGACAGCUCCACCCUCCAUCAUCAGGUAAUUCUGUACCUGAACCAAAAGAAGAUUAGAAUUUAGAAACUAAUCAAUUGUUGUGAGAACAGCGUAUGCUAUGCGUAAAAUAUCAUGCAUGCUAAUGACAUUACCACAUGGAUUAGAAAUCAAGUAAAGUUGUAUAUCAAAACCGUAUCUCCACCAAAAGUUUUCUCGAGCUUACUAUUAGCCUAAAAGAAUUCAACAAUUGAAUCUUCAAAAUCAUAACAAAAUAGUAGGAAUUCAAUAACAUUCAUUAUUCCAUAGAGGUUCUGGAAUGUACACGAUGCAAAACCAAAAGGACAAGCAAACCAUAGUAGUUUGUAUGAAAAUGAUUACCAUCAGGAAAAAACAAUUUUUUGAAAAUGUUCCUUUUGGAGAUACCGAGAUGCAGUUUAUUAUUAAUUUAAACAAAACAUGCGCUUUACGGAGAGAUGAAAAAUUAUGAUACUGCAACAAAACUGUACAAUUUAAGUAGAAAAUGACCAAAAAGGAGCGCUUCAUGUGCCUACAUGACCUUACUUUUUAGAAAUAUCAUAAGUUGCUUUAUAAACUGUUAAAAACAACUUAACUGCUAAGAGUACAAUAUAGCAUCUACUAUCGUAGCGUCGAUCGUGCAGGGAACUACAAAUUGGAUUUGAUUGCUCACAACCAUAGAAAAGAAAGUGAAGACUUAAGAUCAAAUUUGCUGGAGCAAACAAUGUUGGCGCGGCCUCCUCGCAGCACCGCUUCGUCUUCUUUCUCACACAACUCUCACUUGUAAUUUCUCUCAAGAACACACACAUGAUGAGAAAACUCCACACAUACACACACGCCAAGGAAGACACCAGC